CAAAUGUCUUCUUCAGUAUUGCCUGAGGUCCUUUGGGCUUCCUCUAUGCACAUGUGGAGACAAUCACUUCUUCCUGAGCACUGCAGGGGACACCAUAUUAUUGCUGCGUGCAUACAUGUGGGAAUGUCCAGAGCCUCCAGGACCCCCAAAAUUCUGCAGUAAUGAACUGGUAUAGAGCCUAACCUUGAAAAUACUGAGAGGCAGGUGAAGAACAUCAGACAGGCAGAAAAUGUGCAGCUGACGAAUUGCUUAGACUUGUGCAAAAAGAACAGACAAUUUCGGAAUGAUUACAGCUUCCAAGAGCUCCAC